AUUUUCCGGUUGAUCCUGCCGGAGGCUACUGCUAUUGGGAUUCGACUAAGCCAUGCGAGUCAAGGUGUCUUCGGACGCCGGCAUACGGCUCAGUAACACGUAGGUAACCUACCCUCAGGACUGAGAUAACCCCGGGAAACUGGGGCUAAUAUUAGAUAGAUAAAAGAUACUGGAAUGUUCUUUUAUCCAAAGCUUUUGCGCCUGAGGAUGGACCUGCGCCCGAUUAGGUUGUUGGUGGGGUAAUGGCCCACCAAGCCUACGAUCGGUACGGGCAGUGGGAGCUGAAGCCCGGAGUUGGGGACUGAGACAAGGCCCCAGGCCCUACGGGGCGCAGCAGGCGCGAAACCUCUGCAAUGCGGGAAACCGUGACAGGGGGAUCCCAAGUGCUCAUGCAUUGCAUGGGCUGUUCUUUGGUCUAAGUAACCAGAGGAGUAAGGGCUGGGCAAGACCGGUGCCAGCCGCCGCGGUAAUACCGGCAGCUCAAGUGGUAGCCGCGAUUAUUGGGCCUAAAACGUUCGUAGCCGGAUAAGUAAGUCUUUGGUUAAAUCCUGCGACUUAACCGUGGGAAAUCUAGAGAUACUGCUUGUCUUGAGACCGGGAGAGGUUGGAGGUACUCCCAGGGUAGGGGUGAAAUCCUGUAAUCCUGGGGGGACCACCUGUGGCGAAGGCGUCCAACUGGAACGGGUCUGACGGUGAGGGACGAAACCUAGGGGAGCGAGCCGGAUUAGAUACCCGGGUAGUCCUAGGCGUAAAUGAUGCGAGUUAAGUGUGGGGGCAUCCACGAGAUGGCCCUGUGCUGUAGGGUAGCCGUUAAACUCGCUGCCUGGGGAGUACGGUCGCAAGGCUGAAACUUAAAGGAAUUGGCGGGGGAGCACCACAAGAGGUGGAGGCUGCGGUUCAAUUGGAUUCAACGCCGGAAU
rnacentral:rRNA from 1 species